rnacentral:pre_miRNA from 1 species
AUUUUAGCGUAAGUGUGUUCCAUGCAAUUUUUGGAAUGUACUUAUACUAAAA